UACGGAGGGGGCUAGCGUUGUUCGGAAUUACUGGGCGUAAAGGGUGCGUAGGCGGCUAUCCAAGUCAGACGUGAAAGGCCUGGGCUCAACCCGGGGAACUGCGGUGGGUACGGGCAGACUAGAGUGAUGUAGGGGAGACUGGAAUUCCUGGUGUAGCGGUGAAAUGCGCAGAUAUCAGGAGGAACACCGAUGGCGAAGGCAGGUCUCUGGGCAGUUGCUGACACUGAGGCGCGACAGCGUGGGGAGCAAACGGG
rnacentral:rRNA from 1 species